AUCAUUGUGAAACACAGCUACCAGUGCAUUUCCCAUAAUAUAGAGCCAAGUCUUGGUUUUGUCAUCGUCUUCCACCCUUUCUGAACAUGUCUGAGACAAUAAGAUAGGUUGCCGAGCAACUACCCAUUGAGUACAUAUAUACAUUUUUUUUUACACUAUGAGGUUGGAAUUGUACUGUGAAAAUGAUGAUAAUGCCCUGUUAGUGUACAAGUUGUUUGAAAAGCCGCUGGAAAUGUCUGCUUGUUUUGUCGGGAUGGAGUUUUGGCCUGCCUGGUGACAUCAGGGGCAGCUGAGGAUGCAACUAGUGAGGUCCGGCCACCCGACAUCCCACCCGCCCGCUUGACCCCAUCCCUUCCUCCCUUCUCCAGACCACCUACCAUUACUCACUUCCCGUGACCAUUGGCUGCGUCCCCUCUGACUUCAAAAUGUCCCAAGUCGCUCACCUCAAUAAACUAACACUUGACCCCUCUAAACUACAGACCGGUAUUCCUUAUUUCUUAUUUUCACCACCUCAUACUCAACCUCGACAAGACACAGCUGCUCUUCCUCCCGAGGAAGGCCUGCCCACUGCAAGACCUCUCCAUCAUGGUUGACAACUCCAUGGGGUCUCCCUCCCAGAGUGCGAAGAAACUUGGUGUGACCCUGGACAACACUCUUUCAUUCUCUACAACAUCCAUAGAGUUUGACCCUACCUCACACAGGAAGUGGCACAGGUCCUAAUCCAGGCCAUUGUCAUCUCCCAUAUGGACUACUGCAACUUGCUGUUGGCUGGGCUCCCCGCUUGUGCCAUCAAACCGCUGCAACUUAUCCAGAAUGCUGCAAUCUGCCUUAAGUUCAACCUUCCCCAAGUUAUCCUAUGUCACCCCGGUCCUCCUCACACUUGAAGCUCGCAUCCACUACAAGACCAUGGUACUAGCCUACAGAGCAGCAAGAGGAACUGCCCCUCCCUAUCUUCAGGCUAUGCUCAAACCCUACACCACAAUCCGAGUACAGGAGGGCAGCUCCCAAUCAGCCCAGGCCAAGCUCUUCCCAGUCCUGGCACACUAAUUGUGGAACCAGCUUUCCCCUGAAGCUAGGACAGCAGAGUCCCUGCCUAUCUUCAGAAAACUUACACUUUACUUUUUUCCACCUUACUAGCUCUAACUUUGCAAAUAGCUACUUUGAGUAAAAUGUACUUACUAUGACUGGGAUAUGUGGUUUUCCUACCUAGUGCAUUCAUCUUCAGAUAGCUAACUGGAUAAGAGCUUCUGCUAAAUUACUCAAAAUGUUAAUGUAACGACAACUAGCUUUCAUUCCUGAAGGACCUCUCUUAGCCCCUUUAUGUUGUUGUCUAUCACUUCAAUGUAAGAGUCUGUAGCCGACUAACAGCUUCCAAGUCUAGACAAUGUACUUUGCUUAAGAUGAAGCUGUUGCUAGUCCAUCCUGUGAGAUGGAUAUUGGGUUGUUAUUUUACCUGACGUGCAUAUGGACACCUUUACAUUUUUUUUCAUAUAACCUUUUAACUAGGCAAGUCAGUUAAGAACAAAUUCGUAUUUGCAGUGACAGCCUAUCAACAGUGGGUUAACUGCCUUGCUGUCACGCCCUGACCUUAGAGAUCCUUAUUCUUCUCUGUUUGGUUAGGUCAGGGUGUGACUCGGAUGGGAAAUUCUAUGUUUUUUGUUUCUUUGUUUUUGGCCGAGUGUGGUUCCCAAUCACAGGCAGCUGUCUAUCGUUGUCUCUGAUUGGGGAUCAUACUUAGGCAGCCCUUUUUCCCACCAUUAGGUUGUGGGAUCUUGUUUUCUGUUUAGUUACCGUUGCCUGACAGAACUGUGCAUUUUCAUUUUCGGUAUUUUGUACAAGUGUUUUGUUGAAUUAAAAUCAUGAACACUUUCCACGCUGCGCCUUGGUCUACUCUUUCUACCACCAUCGAGAGCCGUUACACUUGCUCAGCUCAGGGUAAAUUGUGUGUUUCUCUACUCCAAUGAUUAAU
ensembl:lncRNA